rnacentral:rRNA from 1 species
AUGCCCACUUUCGCUUUCGCCCUCACUGUGCUGCGGGUGCCCAAAAAGUUUUACAAGGAAGUAGACAAGGCAAGACGAAGGUUCCUCUGGGCGCAAGACGAAGUAGCCACCGGUGGAAAGUGCAAGGUGCGAUGGCAGGCGGUGACCGCGCCAGCGCGCGUAGGUGGUCUGGGCAUCCACGAUCUGGCAAAGUUUGCCCGGGCCCUGCGGCUGCGAUGGCUAUGGCUUGCAUGGAUGCAGCCCUCCCGCCCCUGGGUGGGCACCGACUCCCCAUGCGACGACGCCGAUCGUGCCCUGUUUGCCACCUGCACGGUGGUCACCGUCGGGGACGGCUCUACGGCUUCCUUCUGGCACUCUUCCUGGCUCAACGGUAGUCAGCUAUGUCAGGCAUACCCCGCAGUGUUUGUUCACUCUGCCCGCAAGAACAUGUCCGUUAAAGAAGCCGUGCAUCAAGACCGAUGGGUGCUCGACCUCCGCAACGGCGAUCAUGGCGACAUCAUGCACAUGGUGCUGCAGCUCGCCAGGGAGAUCAGAAGCGCCGGCAUCAUGCUUCAAGCUGGCAGGGCCGACACCAUCACCUGGACCCGAGGCAACUCCGGCAACUACUCCACGCGUUCCGCCUAUGAUGUCCAAUUUGAAGAGCGCCCGACACUUGACUUCACCACUUCCAUCUGGAAGGCCUGGGCCCCUGAUAAGAUGAAAGCCCUCCUCUGGCUGUUGCACUUAGAUCAACUUUGGUGCAACGAUAGGCUACAACGACGCGGAUGGAUCAACAACUACUUCUGCCAGCUCUGCGUACGUAACCUUGAGUCCUCGACGCACCUGUUCUGGGAGUGCACCGUGACCAUUCAGUGCUAG